GAAUGAACCUUAUCGAAUCUUACUAGAAUCAGGUCCAAAAAAUCUCCCAUUCUGUGAAAGCUGAAUAAGGGUCCAUGUCCUUCCUGUGCUGGAUGCAGCGCUUCAGGUGGUUUUUCCUGAAAGCAGAGUAGAGGGUGCUUUGGAAUAACUUCUUGUUUCACAGUCUUCCCAAUCACAGAGGCCCCAUCCUGCUGCCCAUCCACUCAAGACAUGUGGGAAGAGUGGUUGCCAUGGAAGAAUGAGGCAAAAAAGUCUGGUAAAUUUUGGAUUGGAUUUCCCGACUCUGAAUUCAUCAAUACAAAUCAAACAUUGUCAUUACUGUC